rnacentral:rRNA from 1 species
AUACAGAGGGUGCGAGCGUUAAUCGGAUUCACUGGGCGUAAAGCGUGCGUAGGUGGUUCAGUAAGUUGGAAGUGAAAGCCCCGGGCUCAACCUGGGAACUGCUUUCAAAACUGCUGAGCUAGAGUACGGUAGAGGGUAGUGGAAUUUCCUGUGUAGCGGUGAAAUGCGUAGAUAUAGGAAGGAACACCAGUGGCGAAGGCGACUACCUGGACUGAUACUGACACUGAGGUGCGAAAGCGUGGGGAGCAAACAGG